AUCAGUCUCUCAUCAGCUCAUCUGUCAUUUUAUUACUGAACCAGUUCUGAAGAGUUUGUCUUCAUAUUUGUGAACUCAAACCAUUGAGGAUGUUUGACAGAUUUUUGUUCUUUUUGUGUUUGUGGCAUCUUGUUGAAGUGGAUGAUGUGUCAGUGAAGAAGGGAGAUUCUGUCACUCUACACAAUGAGCUUGCAAAAGUUAUGUAUAUAAAAUUGAUUCGGUGGAGUUUUGAACGUAGACAUGUAAUAGCUGAGAUCAAUGUAACGGCUGACAGAUUCUCUGUAUAUGAUGAUGUUCCCGACGGGAGAUUCAGAGACAGACUGAAGAUGGACAAACAAACUGGAUCUCUGACCAUCACAAACAUCACAAAUGAACACGCUGGAGAUUAUGAACUAUUGAUGAAUGGUUUAUCUAAGGUUUUCCAUCUCAGUGUCUAUGAAGAAAUAUCAGUGAAGAAGGGAGAUUCAAUCACUCUGAACUCUGAUCUUACUGAAAUAAUGGAUUAUUAUUGGAUUCGGUGGAUGUAUAUGAUUGAAGACAGUUUAAUAGUUGAAAUCUAUAAACGGGCAAACAGAUUCUCUGUA